GACGUAGGAGGCAAGCGUUGUCCGGAUUUACUGGGCGUAAAGAGCGUGUAGGCGGCCAUACAGGUCCGUUGUGAAAACUGGAGGCUCAACUUCCAGACGUCGACGGAAACCGUGUGGCUAGAGUCCGGAAGAGGAGAGUGGAAUUCCUGGUGUAGCGGUGAAAUGCGCAGAUAUCAGGAAGAACACCAAUGGCGAAGGCAGCUCUCUGGGACGGUACUGACGCUGAGACGCGAAAGCGUGGGGAGCGAACAGG
rnacentral:rRNA from 1 species